UUAUUUAGGAAGAGGAACACAGAGUGUAAUGUUGGUGUCAGUAAUAACUCUAAACAGAGCAGAUUCUGCACUGUAAAGGCUUUCAAAGCAGAUUGAAAUACAUCCAGCACAAGUUUAAACUACCAGCUCUGAUGCAAACACAUUGGAAAUAAUGUCCUUCUCGAAACAAGUUAAAAAAAUACAGAAUAUAAAAUGUUUAUCCUUAUUACAAGUGACAAAAUCUGACGAUAGAACUAGCAGAAUUUGUUUUGGUAAAAAUUGUUAAAAUGAAUUCUGAUGUUCUGCACUUUUAAGACAAAGUUCAAUAUUUUAAAUGGAACAUAUUUAGAUUUAUCAUGCUGGAAUACAGAAAUGUUUUGUCCCGAAAUAAGUGUGUAUUGCUCCAAAAAAGGAUUUAUGUUAAAAUUUGAGUUGAAUGUGAACUUUUCUCCCUUAAAUCUCCUAUUUGAGCUCCACAAAAGUCCAAAAUUCUUGUUUCUAGGCGAUAAUCACAUUAAAGAAAGACUAUAAUCACAUAUUUCGAGAAAAUUGUGUGUAAAACAUUGAAAAUGCAUUGGAGUCAGAUACUUUCUUUAAUUCAAACUGGUCUUUUUUUUAAACAAAACUAUUGAUACCAUCUAAAGUAAAUGAGAACUUCAUUAGAGAAAUUGCUUGAAAUAGAAUGUUUUAAAAAUUAAAUCUUUUAAUAAGAUUUUUAGGAUUUAUUCUCUCAAAGGAAGUUAUCAAAUCUCCAUGAAAAGUUAGUGGCUAAUUAAAAAAAAUACUUUUUAAACCAGAAACAAGGCAAAAAUCCUUGGUGAGAAUUUAUUUUUUGCAGUUAUAGAAGAAUGACCUACAUAGUUUCAGCAUUAAUUCAUUCUUUAUUUGUCUCACUUCAAAAUGCAUCAAGAAUCUGUCUGAGGCCCAGAGAUACUGAGACGAGCUUUUCUUUUUAAUGAAUUAAAUGUUUAAUUAAGUUUGAUUUUUUAUUUCCUAAACUGCUCUAGUUUAAAGUUUCUCAUAUUGAUGAUAUAUUUUAUUGCCACCAGUUUUAAGUCUGACUGAAAAAGAUGCAGAAACUCCGCCAUUCUUCUAAAGGGGAAGCAGAGUUUGGCUGAGGAGUCACAGUUUAAGUGUUAACUCUUCAGCUGUGACUCAUGAAAUGUGACCAAGAUCCAAAUGCCAGCUCAGUGACCUACUUACUUCAUGUGAGAGUUAUCUAAGAACAAGAAAACGGCAGAACAGAGCGGAUCCUUCCUGACCCACAUCUGAGGAGCGUCUAAGUGAAAUGUUGUGUUCAGUCUGUGGGAGCAUCUCUGCAGAAAGAAGACGUGUUUUCAUUAUGAAAGGAGUGUUUUUGUGGAGAGAACAUUAGGUUUUGAAGCUGAACUGUGUCUAUUUUUUCAUACUGUCAGCCAGAGUAGCUUCAUUAUUUUUGUUCAGUUGUUGCACUUCUUUUGUUCAAAGAAGCACACACAUCUUUUUUCAGCUUUCAUUUUCUUCGCUGCAAAUCACCAAAGUGUUUCUGCUUUCUUCUGUGAGCCCACUUGUGUUUGCAGGGCCGUUUUUCACAAGAUUGCUCUUUCAUUUCUUAGCUGUAGUCCUGAAAACCGUUUACCCGUGAAGUGGACACACGUUUUCCAGCAGCGGAUAACGUGGCUCCAGCUCUCCAUUGUGGCUCUGUCUCUGCCUGAAGUGCUGCUCGCCGCAGUCAGGAGAGAAGACGUGAUGGAGACCGAUACACAGUUGGAGACGAAAGCAGAAGAACGCCCGAGGACAGAAAACUUAAGGAAAAGGCUUGAAAAGAGACAAAAAUGGAAUAAAAGAAAAGCAUAAAUGGAUUCAGCAGAAGACGUUGCUGUGUGGAAAACCUUUAUUCAGAAGACAGAGGCUGAUUUGAACUGACCUAGUGGGAACAUGGUGUUCUGAGUCCUGAUUGCCUGCAGACCGUGCCAAUAAAUCUCCUUUGUGCAGUGUCUCCUGUACAGAAUGUGUCCAGUUUGCCAAAUCUACAUACAUCUUCAUCGCGGCCAGAUCUUUGUUUUUAUUCUGUAAUACUGGAUUCAUGUUUUAAGGUUUGAACUUGUAGACUUUAUGAACAAGAGGUAAAAGUGUGAAAAUGUCUGUCUAAGAAAAGUGUGGAAAAUGUGUAGUGAGGAGUUUUACAGCCUGAAAACGUCUCUAAUCCUACUUUGUGGAUCGCUGGAUAUUUUUAGGAUGUAAACGCGCCAUAAUAGAGGGAACACUGUAAAUCAAUACACUGGUGUUUCGUCUUUAGUUACAGUUUCAUAAAUGACGGUGGACCCAAA